rnacentral:rRNA from 1 species
GACGAACGCUGGCGGCGUGCUUAACACAUGCAAGUCGAACGGAAAGGCCCUGCUCUUGUGGGGUGCUCGAGUGGCGAACGGGUGAGUAACACGUGAGUAACCUGCCCUUGACUUUGGGAUAACUUCAGGAAACUGGGGCUAAUACAGGAUAGGAGCUCCUGCUGCAUGGUGGGGGUUGGAAAGUUUCGGCGGUUGGGGAUGGACUCGCGGCUUAUCAGCUUGUUGGUGGGGUAGUGGCUUACCAAGGCUUUGACGGGUAGCCGGCCUGAGAGGGUGACCGGCCACAAUGGGACUGAGAUACGGCCCAGACUCCUACGGGAUGCAGCAGUGGGGAGUAUUGCACAAUGGGCGGAAGCCUGAUGCAGCAACGCCGCGUGCGGGAUGACGGCCUUCGGGUUGUAAACCGCUUUCGCCUGUGACGAAGCGUGAGUGACGGUAAUGGGUAAAGAAGCACCGGCUAACUACGUG